GAUGAACGCUAGCGGCAGGCCUAAUACAUGCAAGUCGAACGGUGGUAGCAAUACCAUAGUGGCGCACGGGUGCGUAACGCGUAACCAACCUGCCCUUGACUGGGGGAUAGCCCGCCGAAAGGCGGAUUAAUACCGCAUAAAACAGCGACCCGGCAUCGGGAUGUUGUUAAAGAUUUAUUGGUCAAGGAUGGGGUUGCGUGCCAUUAGCUA
rnacentral:rRNA from 1 species